rnacentral:rRNA from 1 species
UACGUAGGCAGCAAGCGUUAUUCGGAAUUAUUGGGCGUAAAGGGCGCGUAGGCGGCUUUUCAAGUGACGGGUGAAAUCCCUCGGCUUAACCGAGGAACUGCCUGUCAGACUGGAAGGCUUGAGACCGGGAGAGGUGAGUGGAAUUCCCAGUGUAGCGGUGAAAUGCGUAGAUAUUGGGAGGAACACCAGUGGCGAAGGCGGCUCACUGGACCGGAACUGACGCUGAGGCGCGAAAGCGUGGGGAGCAAACAGG